UACAGAGGGGGCAAGCGUUGUUCGGAAUUACUGGGCGUAAAGGGCGCGUAGGCGGCCUUCUAAGUCGAACGUGAAAUUCCUGGGCUCAACCCAGGAACUGCGUCCGAUACUGGAAGGCUUGAAUCCGGGAGAGGGAUGCGGAAUUCCAGGUGUAGCGGUGAAAUGCGUAGAUAUCUGGAGGAACACCGGUGGCGAAGGCGGCAUCCUGGACCGGCAUUGACGCUGAGGCGCGAAAGCCAGGGGAGCAAACGGG
rnacentral:rRNA from 1 species